rnacentral:rRNA from 1 species
UUCGGUGGUGGAUUAGUGGCGAACGGGUGAGUAACACGUGGGCAAUCUGCCCUUCACUCUGGGACAAGCCCUGGAAACGGGGUCUAAUACCGGAUAACACUCUGUCCCGCAUGGGACGGGGUUAAAAGCUCCGGCGGUGAAGGAUGAGCCCGCGGCCUAUCAGCUUGUUGGUGGGGUAAUGGCCUACCAAGGCGACGACGGGUAGCCGGCCUGAGAGGGCGACCGGCCACACUGGGACUGAGACACGGCCCAGACUCCUACGGGAGGCAGCAGUGGGGAAUAUUGCACAAUGGGCGAAAGCCUGAUGCAGCGACGCCGCGUGAGGGAUGACGGCCUUCGGGUUGUAAACCUCUUUCAGCAGGGAAGAAGCGAAAGUGACGGUACCUGCAGAAGAAGCGCCGGCUAACUACGUGCCAGCAGCCGCGGUAAUACGUAGGGCGCAAGCGUUGUCCGGAAUUAUUGGGCGUAAAGAGCUCGUAGGCGGCUUGUCACGUCGGAUGUGAAAGCCCGGGGCUUAACCCCGGGUCUGCAUUCGAUACGGGCUAGCUAGAGUGUGGUAGGGGAGAUCGGAAUUCCUGGUGUAGCGGUGAAAUGCGCAGAUAUCAGGAGGAACACCGGUGGCGAAGGCGGAUCUCUGGGCCAUUACUGACGCUGAGGAGCGAAAGCGUGGGGAGCGAACAGGAUUAGAUACCCUGGUAGUCCACG